rnacentral:rRNA from 1 species
UACGUAGGGUGCGAGCGUUGUCCGGAAUUAUUGGGCGUAAAGAGCUUGUAGGCGGUUUGUCGCGUCUGCUGUGAAAAUCCGGGGCUCAACCCCGGACUUGCAGUGGGUACGGGCAGACUAGAGUGUGGUAGGGGAGACUGGAAUUCCUGGUGUAGCGGUGGAAUGCGCAGAUAUCAGGAGGAACACCGAUGGCGAAGGCAGGUCUCUGGGCCGCAACUGACGCUGAGGAGCGAAAGCAUGGGGAGCGAACAGG